GUCUGCUUGGAGAUAUAAGGAGUUUAACCUGCUCUCUGAUAUUAUUUAAGGGCCGCGGUAAUUUGACCGUGCAAAGGUAGCGUAAUAGUUAGUUUUUUAAUUGAAAUCUUGUAUGAAUGGUUGGACAAAAGAAAUACUGUCUCUGAAAUUUUUAUUGAAUUUAACUUUUAAGUGAAAAGGCUUAAAUAUUUUAAAAAGACGAUAAGACCCUAUAAAGCUUUAUAAUAGAUUUUUAUUCGAUUAAAUUAAUAAAUAAAAUUUUAAUAAAUUAUAUUAUUUUGUUGGGGAGAUAAGAUUAUAAUUUAAAAUAACUGAUAAAAAUUAAUACAACUAUAUAUGGUUAAUUAAAUAGUAGAUCCUAUAAUAAAGAUUAAAAGUUUAAGUUACUUUAGGGAUAACAGCGUUAUUUUUCUUGAGAGUUCUUAUCGAAAGAAAAGAUUGCGACCUCGAUGUUGAAUUAAAAUUCCUUAAUAAUUGUAGAAGUUAUUAUUAGGAGGUCUGUUCGACCUUUAAAUUUUUACAUGAUUUGAGUUCAGACCGGCGUAAGCCAGGUUGGUUUCUAUCUUUUAAUAAAAAUUAGGUUAUUUUAGUACGAAAGGAUUGAAUAAUUGAAAGUGUUUUGUAUAAUGU
rnacentral:rRNA from 1 species